rnacentral:rRNA from 1 species
AGUGAACGCUGGCGGUAGGCCUAACACAUGCAAGUCGAACGGCAGCACAGUAAGAGCUUGCUCUUACGGGUGGCGAGUGGCGGACGGGUGAGGAAUACAUCGGAAUCUACUUUUUCGUGGGGGAUAACGUAGGGAAACUUACGCUAAUACCGCAUACGACCUACGGGUGAAAGCAGGGGAUCUUCGGACCUUGCGCGGUUGAAUGAGCCGAUGUCGGAUUAGCUAGUGGGCGGGGUAAAGGCCCACCAAGGCGACGAUCCGUAGCUGGUCUGAGAGGAUGAUCAGCCACACUGGAACUGAGACACGGUCCAGACUCCUACGGGAGGCAGCAGUGUGGAAUAUUGGACAAUGGGCGCAAGCCUGAUCCAGCCAUACCGAGUGGGUGAAGAAGGCCUUCGGUUUGUAAAGCCCGUCUGUUGGGAAAGAAAAGCAGCAGGUUAAUACCCCGCUGUUCUGACGGUACCCAAAGAAUAAGCACCGGCUAACUUCGUG